rnacentral:rRNA from 2 species
GGGUUGUGAGGUUAAGCGACUAAGCGUACACGGUGGAUGCCCUGGCAGUCAGAGGCGAUGAAGGGCGUGCUAAUCUGCGAUAAGCGCCGGUAAGGUGAUAUGAACCGUUAUAACCGGCGAUACCCGAAUGGGGAAACCCAGUGUGAUUCGUCACACUAUCAUUAACUGAAUCCAUAGGUUAAUGAGGCGAACCGGGGGAACUGAAACAUCUAAGUACCCCGAGGAAAAGAAAUCAACCGAGAUUCCCCCAGUAGCGGCGAGCGAACGGGGCGGAGCCCAGAGCCUGAAUCAGCAUGUGUGUUAGUGGAAGCGUCUGGAAAGGUGCGCGAUACAGGGUGACAGCCCCGUACACAAAAGCGCAUGUGCUGUGAGCUCGAUGAGUAGGGCGGGACACGUGGUAUCCUGUCUGAAUAUGGGGGGACCAUCCUCCAAGGCUAAAUACUCCUGACUGACCGAUAGUGAACCAGUACCGUGAGGGAAAGGCGAAAAGAACCCCGGCGAGGGGAGUGAAAAAGAACCUGAAACCGUGUACGUACAAGCAGUGGGAGCACAGGUUUACCUGUGUGACUGCGUACCUUUUGUAUAAUGGGUCAGCGACUUAUAUUCUGUAGCAAGGUUAACCGUAUAGGGGAGCCG